GCUCAGCUCGAUCACGACCGGCUUCAGGGUACCGUCGCCCUUGAGGAACAGCAGCGUGCGAGACGCGUAGAUGCACACCCCCAGCGUGUUUAUGCGCCUCAGAGAAAUAUAUUGUAUUGUACCAUUUCAAUGGUUACAUCUUCAAGCUGGCUCUCGAUAUGCGCGGCGGUUAUGGAGCUCUUCUUCCCUCCGCUGCUAACCGGUGGAAACUCCUGAGAAUACAACAGUAACAGGGUUGAGCCCAGCAAGCAUUUCCCUGGCGAAUUCCUCAUCGGUCCUCCACGCCUCAUGGUCAUCUGCAUCAUCGGUCAUCCAAGAUCAAACAUUGAUUUUUAAUUGGAUUGAACAAAUGAGUAAUCCACGAUUGCUAGAAGAAAGUUAAGCUGUGGGUGGUCUUGUGUGAGGGCACGGAGGACUUGAGCUGCUCCAAGACCUCGCCGUCCACGGCCGGCUGCGCGGGCUUGCUGUACAGGUCGUUCCUGAGCUGCUCCAUGGACCUGAAGUCGUUCCCAUGGACCAGCGUCCUCACCUCCGG